UACGGAGGGUGCAAGCGUUAUCCGGAUUCACUGGGUUUAAAGGGUGCGUAGGCGGGUAGAUAAGUCCGGGGUGAAAUCUCUGAGCUUAACUCAGAAACUGCCAUGGAUACUAUUUGUCUUGAAUAUUGUGGAGGUAAGCGGAAUAUGUCAUGUAGCUGUGAAAUGCUUAGAUAUGACAUAGAACACCAAUUGCGAAGGCAGCUUACUACACAGUUAUUGACGCUGAGGCACGAAAGCGUGGGGAUCAAACAGG
rnacentral:rRNA from 1 species